ACUUCAACAUAUUGAAAGUAAUAUAGUUUUUUUUUUUUACUAACUGUACAUGAUCAGUUUGGAAAUUUUAUUUUUUAAUAUACAGUAAAAUUACUCAUUUAACUUUGAAAUUAAAUAAUCUAAAACUGUUGAGAUGCUUGGUAAAUGUUGCUGCUGCUGCUGUGAUGUUUGUUUUAUACAAAAGGUUGAUAUCCAGGCCAAAUUUGAAGAAGAAAAGAAGGCGAAUCUGGGAAAGCUAUAGAAAGGAUGAGUUUGAUUGCUGGAUCUUUUAUUUAUUUUUUUGGGUUUUGAAUAUGGACCCGUAAUGAAUUCUGUGCUUUUUUCAUGGCAAACGAAAAUAAAUGGGGGAAUUUGUUCGCAAAACUAAUCUUAUACGGGGACUGAUAAUGAUGGAGGUUAUGAUAUCUGUCAGGUAGCAGCCCAGCUACUCUAAGUGUGGUGGCUGGAGGUUGCCAUGUGUCAAAUAAAUUGUGGCUGCUCAAUGUCUGUAUGAGAAUCCUAUGCCAUGAAUCUAAAUUAUGUGGUGUUCUUUUCAACAGCAACAUGAGGUGUUAAAAAAUGAUUUCUGUAGUGCCUGAACCUCUAACUAUUUGACCCUUCGGCUCCUAUGUUUGCUUGUCAAGCUCACCCUGCAGCCUACGUUGUCUAAUUAAAUAGGAUAUUUUCCAAUCAACGAAAUUACCGCAAGCAAGAUCAGUGCUAUGAAUUAACACACCUUUAGAGUUCUUUAGGUGGAUUCCAUCUGUGUUUUGGACUGUCUUCGGGAGAGGAGGAGCAUUGUGGGCUGUUUUGAAUUGUUAUGCCUGUGAUUGUCGCAUUGAAACUUCCAUAAAAUCUGAGCACCCGCAAAAAGAAAGCAUGUCAAUCAUGUUAUAAAGUGCAUGCUUAUGAACUGCGAUAGAAAUCUUUAUAGUUUUCUUGAAGUACUUACUUAGUGUGGGUUUGAUGCUUGGCAUUUUCCCGCUCAGCUCCCUUCUUAUCUACAACACAAUUUAGAAAGGAGACAUUAUCAGAUUUAGAUAGUUACUGCAGAUAAUAAUUGUAGUGGAAGGAUCUUCAAACGGGUGGUCUUGCCACCACUUUGAGCCGCUUCCAUCUAUGGUGUGAUUCCUACAAGCUUGGUGAAUUCAAGCCACUACAAGAGAUCUCUACCCUGAGCAUUGAAGUUUGUUGGGGCAAUAAUUGUGCCAUACAACUGGGAAAAAGAUUCAUUGCAUCAUCAUUCACCACUAUGGAAUGCAUGAAUUGCUGUCAUUUUCUCUGCUAACAAAUUCUAUAUUUGAUGCUUACUUGAAAUACAAUGCUUGCUAACACAUUCAUGAAUUGUUUUUUUAAUUGCUAAGCCUUUUGUUUCUCUACCGUCAUAUCCUCUCUUGGCUGUGCUUUAUGGUUUGUGCCAGCUCUUGCACCUUUGUGGUUGAAGAGGUUUGUUCUUCUUUACCUCGGUUUCAGUUGCACUUCCUAUUUUGCAGAUUACUUUCCCUUUUGUUUUCUGCGGCAUCAAGCUGACUUUGCUCACGGCUUUUGGUUUGCAUGUUUUGCUGCUUCGUUGUUCAUGCCUUUAGGCUCUUACCUAUUAGUUUUCUUUUUGAUGAUGUUCGCCCUCAGUUGUGCUUACUGUUUUAGGAAAUCUCUCGCAACUUUGCAUGCCCUUUUUUCUAAUAGCUGGUGAGGUUCCCUCUUCUGUACGUCGCUUUCGUUUGAUCGCUCUCUUUUCCCUUUGUUUUUCGAUCCCACAUUAAGCUAUCUUCGCUCUAUGCUUGCUCUGUCCAAGAUUUCAUAUCUUUCCUUUUUAACUUUGUAUGGCUUUCUACGUUGUUGCCUUUCGUGAUGUUUGUUUAGCCAUUUUAUAUGCUCUCCCGGUUGCGCAUCCUGGUUUAGGACCGCUCAUGCAUCUUUUCUCCAACCGUUGACAAGGUUUGCUAUUCUUUGCCUCCAUUUCAGCUCCGCCAUCUGUUUUGGAGGUUGCUUCUUCUUCUUCUUCUUUUCUUCACUUUUAUAACAUCAACAUGACUUUGACCUUGGCUUUCACUCUGCCAUUUUGGAUGCUUUACCUCCUUUGUUUUGUAUAGUUUCAUGCUUUGUGA